rnacentral:rRNA from 1 species
CGGUUGAUCCUGCCGGAGGCCACUGCUAUGGGAGUCCGACUAAGCCAUGCGAGUCCAGGGGGGCUUUGCCCACCGGCGUACAGCUCAGUAACACGUGGCUAACCUACCCUUAGGACAGAGAUAACCCCGGGAAACUGGGGCUAAUUCCUGAUAGGUGAGGACUCCUGGAAUGGGUCUUCACUGAAAAGGCGUCUAGACCAUGCUUCUAGGCGUCGCCUAAGGAUGGGGCCGCGGCCGAUCAGGUUGUUGGUGAGGUAACGGCUCACCAAGCCUUUGACCGGUACGGGCCGUGAGAGCGGGAGCCCGGAGAUGGGCACUGAGACAAGGGCCCAGGCCCUACGGGGCGCAGCAGUCGCGAAAACUCACCAAUGCACGAAAGUGCGAGUGGGCUAUCCCGAGUGCCAUCCGCUGAGGAUGGCUUUUCCCCAGUGUAUAAAGCUGGGGGAAUAAGGAGAGGGCAAGUCUGGUGUCAGCCGCCGCGGUAAUACCAGCACUCCGAGUGGUGGGGACGCUUAUUGGGCCUAAAGCAUCCGUAGCCGGCUGGGCAAGUCCUCCGUUAAAUCCAGCGAUUCAAUCGUUGGACUGCGGGGGAUACUGUCUGGCUAGGGGGCGGGAGAGGCCGACGGUAUUCUCGGGGUAGGGGUGAAAU